GGGCUGUGGCUCAGCAGCAGAGCAUCUGCUUUGCACUCACAAGGUCCCAGGUUUGAACCCCGGCAGCAUCU